rnacentral:rRNA from 1 species
AGAGUUUGAUUCUGGCUCAGGAUGAACGCUGGCGGCGUGCCUAAUACAUGCAAGUCGAGCGAACAGAUGAGGAGCUUGCUCCUCUGACGUUAGCGGCGGACGGGUGAGUAACACGUGGAUAACCUACCUAUAAGACUGGGAUAACUUCGGGAAACCGGAGCUAAUACCGGAUAAUAUAUUGAACCGCAUGGUUCAAUAGUGAAAGACGGUUUUGCUGUCACUUAUAGAUGGAUCCGCGCCGCAUUAGCUAGUUGGUAAGGUAACGGCUUACCAAGGCAACGAUGCGUAGCCGACCUGAGAGGGUGAUCGGCCACACUGGAACUGAGACACGGUCCAGACUCCUACGGGAGGCAGCAGUAGGGAAUCUUCCGCAAUGGGCGAAAGCCUGACGGAGCAACGCCGCGUGAGUGAUGAAGGUCUUCGGAUCGUAAAACUCUGUUAUUAGGGAAGAACAAAUGUGUAAGUAACUAUGCACGUCUUGACGGUACCUAAUCAGAAAGCCACGGCUAACUACGUGCCAGCAGCCGCGGUAAUACGUAGGUGGCAAGCGUUAUCCGGAAUUAUUGGGCGUAAAGCGCGCGUAGGCGGUUUUUUAAGUCUGAUGUGAAAGCCCACGGCUCAACCGUGGAGGGUCAUUGGAAACUGGAAAACUUGAGUGCAGAAGAGGAAAGUGGAAUUCCAUGUGUAGCGGUGAAAUGCGCAGAGAUAUGGAGGAACACCAGUGGCGAAAGCGACUUUCUGGUCUGUAACUGACGCUGAUGUGCGAAAGCGUGGGGAUCAAACAGAUUAGAUACCCUGGUAGUCCACGCCGUAAACGAUGAGUGCUAAGUG